AGAGGACCAGAGAGUCCGAGCCUCCGAUCCUGAGAAGCAUUCCACAAGGCUCCGUACUGUAAACUGGUCUCAGGUGCAGAAUUCAGACCAUGGAACCGUGUGAUGUUCAUUGUGCUUGGUUGCUUACUGCAAGGUAGCCAGGGACUUAUGAUUGCAUCUUUUAACAUCCAGAGAUUUAGUCAACGGAAAAUCGAUGAUAGACCUAUUCUUGACAUUCAUAUCCAGAUUUUACAAAGGUAUGAUCUCAUCACCAUUCAAGAAAUCAUGGGUGCGGAAAACUCAGCGGUUACCGAUCUAGUGAGAGAACUGAAUUAGUAA